GACGAACGCUGGCGGCGUGCCUAAUACAUGCAAGUCGAACGCUUUUUCUUUCACCGGAGCUUGCUCCACCGAAAGAAAAGAGUGGCGAACGGGUGAGUAACACGUGGGUAACCUGCCCAUCAGAAGGGGAUAACACUUGGAAACAGGUGCUAAUACCGUAUAACACUAUUUUCCGCAUGGAAGAAAGUUGAAAGGCGCUUUUGCGUCACUGAUGGAUGGACCCGCGGUGCAUUAGCUAGUUGGUGAGGUAACGGCUCACCAAGGCAACGAUGCAUAGCCGACCUGAGAGGGUGAUCGGCCACACUGGGACUGAGACACGGCCCAGACUCCUACGGGAGGCAGCAGUAGGGAAUCUUCGGCAAUGGACGAAAGUCUGACCGAGCAACGCCGCGUGAGUGAAGAAGGUUUUCGGAUCGUAAAACUCUGUUGUUAGAGAAGAACAAGGAUGAGAGUAGAACGUUCAUCCCUUGACGGUAUCUAACCAGAAAGCCACGGCUAACUACGUGCCAGCAGCCGCCGCGG
rnacentral:rRNA from 1 species